rnacentral:tRNA from 1 species
GCCGGGGUGGCAGAGCGGCAAAACUAGUAGGGCCAUUGCGCCGGACUCGAGAUAAUGUCGCAAGGAAUCCGGUUCUCCUCAUAGGAGAGUGGGGGUUCAAAUCCCCUCCCCGGCG